rnacentral:misc_RNA from 1 species
UCCUCUUUACAGAGGCAGUUCGUUUCGAGUUCCCGACAUUACUCGCUGGUAACAAAACGUGAGGGUUGCGCUCGUUGCGGGACUUAACCCAACACCUCACGGCACGAGCUGACGACAGCCGUGCAGCAUCUGUGCACGCUCCCUUGCGGGUCAUCCCUGUUUCCAGGUCUUACCACGUGCAUGUCAAGUCUAGGUAAGGUUCUUCGCGUUGCGUCGAAUUAAACCACACGCUCCGCUGCUUGUGCGGGCCCCCGUCAAUUCCUUUGAGUUUUAGCCUUGCGGCCGUAGUCCCCAGGCGGAGCACUUAUCGCGUUAGCUUCGGCACGGAGGGAGUCGACACCCCCCACACCUAGUGCCCAUCGUUUACGGCGUGGACUAC